GUCUACUCCGCAGCCGCUGCCGAGCGUCUUAACUUCCGCAAAGUGUACUCAGUCGCGUAUGCGGACCUGCCCUACGCGCCUCAACCAGACGCCCCGCAUCUGGAGGCUCGAGUUUACAUCAAGAAUCUGUGAAGUGGAUUUCCGACGACCGCUAGCUACGUACUCAAAGGCAACACAAAAGCUACCCAAUAAUUUAAUUUAGCUUUAGGGCAACACACGGUAGACGUGUGUAGGUGCACAAAAAUGUUGAAACUUUCAUGUUACCUGAAAUCGCAGGGAUUAGAUAGGAACUAGAAUACUAGAAUAUAGAUCGUAAAGCGAAGAGACCAGUCGAUUUGGUCUUAAAAUAUAAAUCCUAAAGUUUGUAUGUGAAGAGCUGGCUCUUUACCUUUUUCAAAAAUGUUUGUAUUUGUAUGUAAUCAUUGUUUUCAUGGUAAUAUUAAUAUCAUCACAUUUUUGCAUAAAUACAUAUGUACUAAAGAUAUUAAGCAAAGAAAACAAUAACUUUACGAUCACUGCUUGGAGAAUUUAAGCCAACGCUUUAUGAGAUACACUCUUAAUCAAUAAUAACAGGACAUUUCAUAUGGAAAUUCUAAGCAAAGUGACCUGUUAUGAUUGCUUUUGCGUGUAGAUGGUGAAAAUAUGUCUAAAUGAAUGUGCAAUGUGAAUUUCAUUGGCUAGUCAAGUUAAUUAAUUUAUUUCAAGAACAUUUCGUAUACAUUUCAAAAAUACAAUAAUAAAAUUAGUAUUAUACUGUUGCAAUCGAUCAAAUGAAAAAUUAUACUGUGAUUAUUGUGAUUGGUAAUACAUAGGCACGUAAUAGAUCUUCAAUUUAAAGAAGUAUUUGACUCUUGUUGAGGCUAAUAAUUCUUAAGAUAUUUCAGAUUAUGGUUGAUCAUGAUAUAAUUAUUUUAUCAUUCGACAAUCUCCAAAUAUUUAAGAUUAAUCGUAAGUUUUAUUUAACCUCCUAAGGCCCAUCCAUACAAAUGAAAAGUCCAAAAUUUGCCACAGUGUAAUUUGAACCUAAAGUGUAGCAAAAAGAGUUGAUUUUGCGUUGUUUGAAAACGAACAAAAGAAAGGAAAAGCGACAUUUUUCCAAUUGAAUAUGAUUUAAAUUUCAUCGAACUGAAGAAGUACUAUAGGCAGGACCUUGGGCCUUAGGAGGUUAAGUGAUAAAUUAGUCGUUCCUUUUAGUUAGUAAACGAGCAUGGUUAGGAUCACUUGAUUUUGGCAGCGCAAAGAAUAUUGAUUCGGAAACUUAUUAAACCACCACCUUAUAAAAACAUGGAUUACAGGUGAAUAUCAUUAGAAACUUUAUUUUAUAUAUAUUUGUAUAAAAUCCUAAAUUAUCAAUAUACUUUAACCAAAGUCUUCCUUAGUUUCCCCAUUUGAAUUUGUACGGUGAAUAUAAUAAGGUGAUAUUAAACUACGCUCUAUGUAACUUUAUUUAUUAAUUAAUAAUAUUUAAGAAUGAAAUGAGCACAAAAUUAAUUGUACGGCGUCAAAAGGUCUGAACUCUGAACACUGUUCGUCAAUUUAUUCUCAAUUAUACAUUUCAUGAAGUUUAUCUCAUUAUCUGUCAAUAAAAUGUAAUAAUCA